AUACGUAGGUGGCAAGCGUUAUCCGGAAUUAUUGGGCGUAAAGAGGGAGCAGGCGGCAGCAAGGGUCUGUGGUGAAAGCCUGAGGCUUAACUUCAGUAAGCCAUAGAAACCAGGCAGCUAGAGUGCAGGAGAGGAUCGUGGAAUUCCAUGUGUAGCGGUGAAAUGCGUAGAUAUAUGGAGGAACACCAGUGGCGAAGGCGACGAUCUGGCCUGCAACUGACGCUCAGUCCCGAAAGCGUGGGGAGCAAAUAGGAUUAGAUACCCUAGUAGUCCACGCCGUAAACGAUGAGUACUAAGUGUUGGAUGUCAAAGUUCAGUGCUGCAGUUAACGCAAUAAGUACUCCGCCUGAGUAGUACGUUCGCAAGAAUGAAACUCAAAGGAAUUGACGGGG
rnacentral:rRNA from 1 species